CCUGGUUGAUCCUGCCAGUAGUCAUAUGCUUGUCUCAAAGAUUAAGCCAUGCAUGUCUAAGUAAAAAUUUAAUAAUGGUGAAAUUGUAAAUGGUUUAUUAUAAUGGUUAUGAUGUACCCGGGAUCUCCGAUGGAUAUUUUUAGUAACAUUAGAGUUAAUAUAUGUUUCUGCGUUUAUUAGUUUUAAAUAAAAUUGUUGUUGAGUUAUGGUAAACGGUUGAUCGAUUUGACAUCCCGGAACAGUUUCCGCCCCAUCAGUUUUGAUGGUUGGGUAUUGGCUUACCAUUGCAAUAAUGGGUGAUGAGGAAUUAGGGUUUGAUUUCGGAGAGGGAGCCUGAGAAACGGCUACCGCAUCUACGGAUGGCAGCAGGCGCGUAAAUUAUUUAAUGUAGAUUUUGUGAGGUAGUGACGAGAAAUAAUAAAGUAUGGCUUAUGCUAUACUAUUAUAAUGAGGAAUAACUAAAUGUUAUUCCUAUUAGCAACUGAUGGGAAAGUCUGGUGCUAGUAGUUGUGGUAAUACCAGCUUCAGUAGCAUAUACUAAAAUUGUUGCAGUUAAAACGUCCGUAGUCUGUACGUCGUCAAUGACUUUACUACUGCGCUAAUUGUUUUUGUAAUGAUUAGAUUGCUUGUAGUUACUCCCUUGAUCAAAAUAGACUGUUUAAGGUAGAUUGAGUCUUUAUAUUUUCACAUGGAAUUGGGUGAAGGAACUUAAGAGGUUAGGUUUCUCGUCUUAGGAGCAUUUAGGGAUAUUAGUACUUGGCCGCGAGAGGUGAAAUUUUUGGACCGGUCAAAGACUAAUAGUAGUGAAAGCAUUUGUUAGAAAUGUUUUCUGCGACAAAGGACGAAGGUCGGGGUAUCGAAGACGAUUAGAUACCGUCGUAGUCCUGACUGUAAACUAUGCCGACUUGGAUCUUGCAGAGUUAUACUUUGUGAGAUCCAACCAGAAAUGAAAGUGUAUGGGUUCUGGGGGUAGUAUGGACACAAGUCUGAAACUUGAAGGAAUUGACGGAAGAGCACCAUCAGACGUGGAGCUUGCGGCUUAAUUUGAUUUAAUGUGGGAAAACUUACCAGGUCAAGACAUGGGUGUGAUUGAUAGGUUAAUGAUUUUUUUUGAUUCCUUGGAUGGUGGUGCAUGGUCGCACUUAGUUGGUGCAGUGAUUUGUCAGGUUUAUUUAACUUUCCGAAAUCCAUUAAAUUCACCUAAUCACUCGAUCGGUAGGAGCGACGGGCGGUGUGUACAAAGAGCAGGGACGUAAUCAACACAAGAUAUUAACUUGUGCUUACAAAACAUUCCUAAUUAGAGUCCCACAAUUACAAGAGACUGUCCCUUAAGACGGCGAUUUAUAAUUUAACUUGAUUUUCAUCAAGUUGACUUACUCAUAGCGUCAUUGUAGCACGCGUGCGACCCAGGACAUCU
rnacentral:rRNA from 1 species